rnacentral:rRNA from 1 species
AGUGAACGCUGGCGGUAGGCCUAACACAUGCAAGUCGAACGGCAGCACAGGAGAGCUUGCUCUCUGGGUGGCGAGUGGCGGACGGGUGAGGAAUACAUCGGAAUCUACUUUUUCGUGAGGGAUAACGUAGGGAAACUUACGCUAAUACCGCAUACGACCUACGGGUGAAAGCAGGGGAUCUUCGGACCUUGCGCGAUUGAAUGAGCCGAUGUCGGAUUAGCUAGUUGGCGGGGUAAAGGCCCACCAAGGCGACGAUCCGUAGCUGGUCUGAGAGGAUGAUCAGCCACACUGGAACUGAGACACGGUCCAGACUCCUACGGGAGGCAGCAGUGGGGAAUAUUGGACAAUGGGCGCAAGCCUGAUCCAGCCAUACCGCGUGGGUGAAGAAGGCCUUCGGGUUGUAAAGCCCUUUUGUUGGAAAAGAAAUCCAGCUGGUUAAUACCCGGUUGGGAUGACGGUACCCAAAGAAUAAGCACCGGCUAACUUCGUGCCAGCCGCCGCGGUAA